CGAGGACGAACGCUGGCGGCGUGCUUAACACAUGCAAGUGGAGCGACGAACCGGGGCUUGCCCGGGGCAGAGCCGCGAACGGGUGAGUAACACGUGGGUAACCUGCCUCAAUGAUUGGGACAACCCGGGGAAACUCGGGCUAAUACCAAAUGUGUUCACUCCUUUUAAGGGGAGUGAGGAAAGGAAGCUUCGGCCUCCGCAUUGAGAUGGGCCCGCGGCCCAUUAGCUUGUUGGUGAGGUAACGGCUCACCAAGGCUUCGAUGGGUAGCUGGUCUGAGAGGACGAUCAGCCACACUGGGACUGAGACACGGCCCAGACUCCUACGGGAGGCAGCAGUGGGGAAUCUUGCACAAUGCGCGAAAGCGUGAUGCAGCAACGCCGCGUGGGGAAGACGGCCUUCGGGUUGUAAACCCCUUUCAGUUGGGACGAAGCUUCGUCGGUGAAUAGCCGGUUGGAGUGACGGUACCUUCAGAAGAAGCCCCGGCUAACUACGUG
rnacentral:rRNA from 1 species